rnacentral:tRNA from 1 species
AAUAAAGUGCCUGAAUAAAAGGACUAUCGUGAUAGGAUAGCUAAUGUAAUGUAAUAUUACCUUUAUUA